ACCAUUGUCCUCCCUCUCCUCUUCCUUCUCUCUUAAUAGAGAGACUACACCUCCUCCUACUGUCAAGAUGGAGCAUACAGAUUUGGUAGCUGUCAUUUCAGCAACCAUUUUGGUUUGUGGAGUCAUCUAAAGAAAGCCAAGUUCCAGAUGGCAGAUCAGAAACUCAAGUGCCUGAUAUCCUGGUGAUAGUUUGGGGCUGCCCCUCCAGCCCACACAGCCAGUGCCAGACUUCUCUCUAACCUAAGUUGCCAUUGCUUUUGCUCCCUCAUGGGAAGGCCGAUCUAAGAAUAGGUGGUUUGGAGUGACAGGUACAGGAGGGAGACAGGAAGGGGAGGUACCCAGGAAGGGGUGGUAUUAGAGGAAAGUAUCACAUAUCCACAAUAACAACCUGCUUUUGCUAAUGCUGACUAAGGGAUCCCCCUUACCUGAGCCCCCUCAUUUAAUCCCCACCAAAUGCUGCAAUGAGGACAUCCUUAGGUCUGUGGCUUUCCACAGUUAAUAGUGUGGACAUGAAGCCUCAGGACAGACAUGUCUUCGAGGCCACUGAGCUGGGAGGCCAGUUCCAAACCCUAGUCUGUUAGACUCGAGGACAACCCCUUCCAUUUCCACCCCACCUGGGCUCAAGAUGCUGUGCAGAUGUGAAAGCCAGAGAGUGGUCCCGCGGCAGAGCUGUGGCUUUGUGUCACUGUGAAAGUGAAAGAAGCGCUUCAGAGAAGGAAGCAGCCUGGCCGGAAGACCUUACUUUGAACUGUAUAUUUUCUUUGGGGGACAGAGCAUAGAGACAUCAACAAUUGCAGCAACCCUACCUAGACUCACCAGAGGCUGCUCAGUGGUACGUGGAUUCUGUGGAUUCCGCUUUCUCUGGGGUACUUCUCGUAAUUUAGAAAUGCUUGACGCUGCGGAAGACAGCCCCGCCCUCUGCAUCAUUCAAAAGAAAACUCAGACACAGAGGCGGGCUCUUGGUUCCUGCACAGAAACAUUUAGUAGUUUUUAAAAGUUAGAGAGCCGCAUCUUUGAUUGCAUUCCUUGGUGCUUUGGCUCUUGUGGUCUAGCCUUUCUUUGAUGACCAAGUCACCGAGGUCCUCACAUGCUUAGGACACACGUGCUCCUAACAAGCCGCUCAGAAUAGACCAUGAUUUUAGAUGAGGACUAUGUGUAGAAGAAACUAUGAGAGGAAAUGGGUGUUAUCAGAGCAAGCAAACCCAGAUGCCUUUACAAAACGACAAAAAUCGAUUUUUUUUCCUCUGCUGUGAGCCACUGUAGAAAGCCAGUGUGAAACGGCAUCCAUGUGCAUUUGACACUCAAUUACAUGUGAGAGCUCUGCUGUCCCUGAGUCUGCUAAACAAAACCCUCUUCCCUGGUGAGGGUGAUCGAUGGCUGUGAGCCGGAGGCUGUCACUGCCAGGGUCUGGGAAGUUGCUCUUCCGGAAGGGUGGUGGAGACCCUGGGAAUCUGACCAGCCCUGCUCACAAGUAUGAAGAGAAUGUCGGGAGAGGAAGUGGUGACUGUGAGUCAGCAUGAGUCAUCUGGUUCCAGUGACAAUGAAGGCUGAGGUGUGCGCCUUUUUCUUUUUCUUGUCUUUUUUUUUUUUCUUAAUCAUGUGGACAUCUCUGAGAAUGAAGGGGACUCAGUGACUUUACAAUGGCUGCUUUCUAAGUUUCCAAGUGACUCUGCAGGCAAGCCGUGCACGUCUUGGGAUCUUCACAGCACAGUGGCUGGGAAGGUGGGGCCACCAUUCAUCAGCUUCUCCCGAAUAACUGGGAGCUGAAACAGGAAGCCCCAUGACACAGUUGAUCGAAAAUGACACAGACACAGAGAAAUCAGGAUGUCCCCCCAGCAGCACCUCUACCUGCUGCCUGCUGAUUGCAACUAGAAGGCAGGUGAAGGGUUUCCCUCUCUGGGAAUGGACUCUAACUACUGAGGGUUCUGGUGGACCUCCAUGCUCACUGGUGAUGGGCCUACAGUGUUUUCGAUGAUAGUCUUCCGUUGGUUUCCCACUUAUUGGGUCCUCACUCAUGUCUUGAUCUUUACUUCAUUAAAAGCAAAACUAAAGAAAAUGGAAUAGUCUGUUAAUUAGCCGUACAGAAACACUAAGGAUGCUAAGCUUGAACUUAAGUUAGCUUUCUCCAAGGCUACGUGUCAAGAUUGCCAUAACCACAUAGAUCACCACAGCAUCUUUAAAAAGUGCGCUGAGCUUGGAUCUCAGUACUUAGCCAUAUCUGUUCUGUUUUUGAUUCCAUUCUAGAUCUCUCUGGAGUCACUGUUGGCAGGCCCACAGUUGAGAGCAUUGGGAUCUGUCCAUGUUCAUCUGGUCACAGCUGAUAACUGGCCUAGAGCUUGCCUUCAGCUUUGAGCUGCAAUGGGAAACUCCCACUCUCCCUCCCCCCAUCCCCCCUCCACCUCCACAUACAUCACUGAUUUGAAGAUUCAAUACAUAAUGAUUUCUUAUGGAGUCUACUGGGUGCUAUGUUCUAGAGACAAGAUGUGCUAGCCUCUCCCCCUACCUCCCUGACAUGUGUAGUCUACUUAUAAGCUUGGCUCAAGAAGUGAAGGACUACGUAUCUCAUGGAUGUUUCAUCCAGAUGUCCUGAUUUUCCAAAUCCAUUCCUCAAAUCUUGUGGCUGGCACUCCAAUAUCCUCUGAGAUGGCUAGUCAUUCCUUCUACAGAGUCCUCAUCUCAUCCCCAAAUGUAAGAUGAAUGCAUUCAUCAUCCUGGGAAUGUAGCCAAAGAGGCCAUUUAUAGUCACCUUCCAAGAGUCUAUUAGUUUUCACUUGUAAGCGUAGCAGAAAUCCAAGGAUAACUCAGUGGCUGUGCUCACUACUUUAUACUCUCAAUAUCAGUUUGCUAAUUGGUCAUGGGGCUCAUCACAGAGGCCCUGUGUGAAUGGCCCAGGGACAUCAUCCGGUUCUCGCCCAAAUGCUGAGACUCUGGGAAGCCUCCCUGAACACCAAGUCCUGAGAGACAUCAUUACCCCUUCCAUUUCGUGUCCCUUAUUUUCUGCAUAGGGCUUAACUAGUAUUAGAAGUGACCUUCAUAGUUUGUUUAUUAUUUCUGCAUCUCACUGUCCUCUCCAGUUUCCUCUUUACAGAGACAGAUGUGCUGUCUUAUCCCCAAGUCUGUCCACAGCAUCUGGCACUCAGCACAGCAGACAUGUGCUACCUAAGUCAAUCAUCUCGUUGCUUCUCAGCAACAGGAGUAUUUGUAUUCUAACCACAUGGUGAAGCUAAGCCUCCAUCUCUGCAGCUGGUUGCUGGAGCAGUAGGGUGAGGAUCCUGUCCAUCCUUCAAACCCCUGCUCAGCAGAAGGGGUGAGACACAAGCCCUCCACUGUCUUCAUACCUGGAUGCUCAUCAGAACCAAUCUUCUUCUUGCUUGUCUGCCCUGAAGUUUGUUUAAUUAUAUUCCAGGAAAAUCAAAACCCAUUGAGUUGUGGAAGAAAUUAAGUCUCCAGUGGGGUGUCUGCAGCAGUAGCUUUCCCCAGCAGAAAGCCCUGAGACCUUAUCUCCUGUGCUAGCUCCAUUUGUCUGGGCUCUCCAAGAGAAGGGAGCAAUAUGGAGGGAUCACACAGGGAGUGGAGACAAAGUCCCAGGAAGUGACAAGGAGCUUAGACCCGUGUGUGUGCCCUGCAGAGGUUCACACAGUCCUCUCUGGGCAGACCCCUACCCUGAAGCAUGGGCUCCCACUAGUAGGCAUGUCUACCCAGAUAUCCUUCCCUUUAUGUGUUCUCAAACAGAGCACAGCCCCGCCCCCUCUGCUCAUCGCCCACCUCUACUCACAGGGUGUUUAUGGCCUCAACAGAAGACUGGGAUUCACAGGGUCCAGAAGGACCAGAAAUGAUCUGUACAGCAGUCAUGGGAUAAUUCACUCAUAAGGAUAGUAAGAGAAAAAGCAAAACAGAACCGACUAUAUAAUUUUAGAUGCUUUUAGGACAAAAUUCUGACCCUCACCAGAGAGUGGAAUUACUCAUGAAUAAUAUAUGGAAAAACCAACAAAACCCCUCAACAUCCAGGAUUCACCUGGAUUUAAAGCAUCAGAAUUUGGAAAUAGGAAACACAAGGAACAAACACUGAUAUUUUGAAAUUCUCCACAGGCAUUUAAAAUUUUUUAUCUGAUUAUUUUGUGUAUGUAAGUUUUUUGCCUGUGUGCAUGUCUGUGUACCACAUGGGUGCCUGAUAUAUGAAGAAAUCAGAAGAGCAUGUUGGAUCCCUGGGACUGGAGUUACAGACCAUUGUGAACCUCCAGUGGGGGCUGGAAAUCAAACCUGGGUCCUCUGGAAGAGCAAGUGCUUUUAACCACUGAGCCAACACAAGCAUGUUUAAUGCUAAGUCAAGACUGAGCAACACUAGUCUACCUUGUCUGUUACAGUAUCCUUCAGUUGAUGUGGCCACUGGACAUUUAAUAGAACCGAGGAUAUGUAUAUUAUUAUUAAUUGUAUUAUAAAUUAUAAUAUAAAUACUAUACUACUUCUAUUACAAAUUAUUAUCAGUAUAUUAUAUACAUUUGAUGUAGCUGCUAGACAAUCUAGAACCACCUUGUCUGUUACUGUAUCCUUCAGCCGAUCUGGCCCCUGGACAUUUAAGAUAACUGAAGAUCUCAAUUUUUAAUUGCUUUUGACUUCAGUUCAUAUAAGCCGAGUGUCUCCUGUGGCUGCAGCUGUCGUAUUGAACAAUUCAGAAGAGAAUAUAUACACACAUACAUAUCAUGGAAAGGCAAUGUCAUGAGAAGCAUAGGAGCUAGCCUGGCACAUGGGAGCAGGGAGCCCUACCGUAAGGGAAACUCUGGUGGACCCGGGAAGAGUUUGAGCUAGCUCUCUGCUGGUUAAGUUUGCAAAUGCCUGCCCUCUUACCUCAAGCAUCUAUCUAUAUUCUGAGCCAGAGUUUAGGCAGCAGCAAAGGAAAUGUUCUCUGCACUCAACGACUGAAAAGAACUUAAAAUAUCCCACACAGAGUCCAAGACCUGUCCUUUGGUGUUCAUUUGAGACAAUUCUCACAUCUGCCUCUUUGGAGACCCAGGCAUGGAAAGGGAACCUUCUAGACCACCCGUGGAAUUACUGUAAUGUGAGAAAUUAAGACGUUUUGGAGAAGAGAGGUAGAAGUGUUGCCACCACAGAGUCACAGCUUUUGAAAUGGGCUCAGGUCAAGCUGGAGAGACCACCCCGGUUCUAUUCCUAGGCCCCACAUGGUACUCACAGCCAUCUGCAACUCAGUGGCUCCGACAACCUCUCCUGGCCUCUGUGGGCGUCACACUUACCUUACGCACAUACAUGCAGGAAAGCACACCUAUACACAGAAAAUGUACUUAGUUUAAAAAAGUAAUGGGUUCAGGGAGAGGGUUGAGCCAGCUCUGGCAGCAUGGGUUUAGAGAUGAAGAGAGAGACGCCAAAGCUGAAUCAUUUUCUUCUUAUCACUCAGAGACUGUCAGAUUUCUUUCUAUUUUUUUUUUAAGUUGUAGGGAAAGCACCUUAGACAGAGAAUAAUACUAUGUAGAAUUUCAGAGCUUUCCCUUUUUAAGCACUUUAUCAUCUUGGGUUUACUUUGCUCUCACACAGAGGCCCUCAGAUCUACAGGGGAGGGAUUCAGAAUGUCACUCGAGUGUCCCUAAAAGGAGUUCAGGCUUAAGGAAAGAAUUAAAAGGUGAAGGUUUGGUUUUUCGCAAUCUUGGGCACACUUAAAUGCCUAGUGUCACAGCCUCGAGAACACGUUCAGAGAUUUUUUUUAAACCCCUACAUAGGUUGUGUUUUUUAAUCAGCCUGCCCAUGAUGUAUUGAGUUUCACCACUCUCUUCUCAUCCUCAGCCCUUGAAUUAGAUGUUUUCUUCCUCAGAGCUUUGUGUGACCUGCAAGUUUAGUAAAUAUGCCUUCUGUGUCUCCUUGCAAGUUAUUUUAAAAAGUGAUAGGUGAUAUAAAACACAGGCAAGAGUCAUGCCGGUCUCAGCGAAGCCCAUGCCUCUCAAGGGCACCCCUGGCAUCCAACCUCAGGCUAAUGCUGUCACCACUCAACCUCCUGGUGGGUGGGGUGGCAGUCAUUCCAGACCACACUUGACUGUGAAUCUGAGAUCUCCUGAGUGAGUGGUGGCCUGGCCAACAGGUCAACAGGACUGACAUGAGGUCAUGAGCUGGCUUUCUCUAGGCAUGUUUUGUCUGGGCAAUUAUGAAUCCUGGCCUCACUGACAUCUAGCCCAUCUUGAACCGUACAUAGAUAGGAUAGGAGGAGAGCUUUUCAUAUGCUUUACUGAAAGCAAGACACACUUUCUGGGCAUUCCCCUAAUCGCCUGUGCUGGUGCAGCUCGUCAAAACAGGAAAUGAGGUUAGCAUGGAAUGACUUUCUCUCAGAGAACUUACGUUGCCUCCUAAAGACCACCAGGUUCUCCCCCAAAAUCUUGUGGUUCAGUUUCACUCCUCCCCUGGGCUUUCCUAGAAAUGGGAGAGUAUCUGGUUUUCUGUAGGAUUUGGAAUAUAGGUUCCUUUGGGAAACAAUUAUUCCCAGUCUUUCAACUCUUUCCUCUCCCUCCCAGAUCAGUAUCUCUGAAAUGUUUGCAGGUUGGUGUGAAGCUAGAUCUGCAUAUGUGCCAACCACAGCAAGACUGUGGUUAAACCAAGGGCUUUGUGUACAUCUGAGGCAGAAGGGUUCACGUGUGGCAUGGGCUUUAGGCAGCUCCUUCCAGCGGGGCUCUUUGAUCCCAUGUUUUCACAAAAAUGCCAGGAAGAGAAAGCAAGCCUGUGCGUGCGUGCGUGUGUGCGUGAAAACAUCCAUGGGAAGAAUCUCUUCCCCUCCCCUGCUCCAUAGGGGGCAUUUCAGGGCAGAAGGAGCUAGGCUGUCUCCUUUCAAAUGGAAGCCUACUGAGUUCUUGGAUGAAGUUGUCAAGAGAGAUGAAAGUCUGGCAGUCUUGGCGGGGUCCCUUGGUUAUCUUUGCUGAGGCCUUUGACAAAUGGCUCUGGUUGAACUUUCUAGAACCACAUAUCUUUUCUUAAUACUAACAUACUUUUAAGGUCAGUUGAGGGAAAGUGUGGCCUUGACUCAUAAUGACUAAGACAGAUGAUAGUCUCCUAAUAUUAGACUUGAUUUACCUCUUGGCAUCCACCCACCCACUGUCUGGGUUCUCACUUUGGUAAUCAUGGGUGUGUUUCUUUUUAUACUUGACUUAGGAUCUCAAAAGCCAGUCUGAUUUCAAGGCUGGAAUGGAUCUCAGAUGGCCACUCUUCUGAAGACCAGGUCUAUCUCAGAGGCCCUGUGUGUGGAGUGUCUUCAUAGACAGGGUUGUAGACUUUCUAGCAAUCAUCCCGGCUACCCAGGCUCUGGCUCUUCUGGUGGCUUCCAACAUUAGUUCAGUCUCUUUACAGGCCCCGGAGGCAGUACUGUUAUCUUCAUUUAGGUUAAGGAAACUGAGGUUUCGCAAGAGUCAGUUCACCUCCUGUCACAAAGCUGACACAUGAUGGCGUGCCUUGGCUUGAAAUCCAAAGUAUCUGGCCUCAGUGCAGUUGUCUGCCAUGCAGCCCUUCAAAAGGCCCGUGCAUGGCCACUGACAUGGAGACAUAACUGCAAGCUCAAUGACCUGUGCAGUUCUAGGCUCUCCUUGCUGAGUCAAAAUGGUAGAGGACCCAGCUUUGAGCACCGGCUACUGGGGGACUUAAGGAGGGCAAAGGCCAUGUCUGCUCUUGAUUCUUCAGGGUUCUAGGCUGAGUGGUGGAGUGGCCAGUCAGACAGAGGCUCCUGGGCUACAUGUAGGCAGCUGAUUAGGGUGGGAGAAACUGUGAGAAUCAGUGGCAAUACAGAGACAGGGAUGGAGUGGUAAACUAUGAAAAAUCUUCUAUACAAGCCAUUGCUGGUGUCUAAGGAUUGCAAGCAAGAUUAAAGAAAAACAAACCAUCAACAGUGGUUACUGAUCUGCAGUCAUCACUCCAUACCAACCACUACCCUGACAUUUUGUUCUUCUAGGCCUUUCUAGAUGUCUGCAGUCCCCAACUUGCUCAGGAUGACUUGUUCAUGCCUAUUAGAAAUUAAUAUUUCUCAGUUAGUCACUGACCAGCCAUUCAUGCUAGAGAGGUCCUGGUCUGAGCAGGGCUAACCUGCUGCUAUGCAAACCUUUCCUCAGGCUAUCUCAGGCUUCCGCCAAGCUGGUUUCUUAUUUCACCUACCAGUUACUUUGCAAACAGUAGCCUCUUAACACCACAUUGUCCUUUUAAAAGGGAGCAGGCUCCCCAGAAACUUACCUGUUACCUGCAGGCUUGCCUCAGAAGAAGCCAAGCCCACUUUGAGGCAUAAGAAUGAGUGUGAGCAACUAAUUGUGUGUGUGUGUGUGUGUGUGUGUGUGUGUGUGGUCAUAUGAGUAUUUUGCAUGUGUACAUGUGACAUAGGUUGUGAUGCAUAUGAUGCUGCUGCCUGUGUGUUUGGUGUCUUCAGAAUAGAUGUCUAUGGUGUAUGUGUGGGUAUCUCUGUGUGAUACAUAUCUGCAGCGUGUGUAUACUUGGGUAUAUUUACACACGCAUGAAUAUGUGAUUGGGUUCAUGGGUGGAUGUGAAUGUAGACAUCUGUGCAUCUGUGGUAUGUGUGUGUGUGUGUGUCUAGAUAUGUGUGACACAUGUGUAAUGUGGAUGUUGGUAUGUGAAGUUCAUGUAUGUGGUAUCUGUGCACUAUGUAUAAAUAGAUAUGGCUUCUGUGGUACACGGUGUCUGUGAUAGGUAUGAACACAUUUGGUGGAUAUGUACAAUAUAGCUAUGUGUAUGUGUGAUGUGCAUGUGGAGUAGUGGUGCCAGAUUCUUGCUUUGCAAAUCCACAAAGUAGAGAAGAUAUUGCCUAGCAACCACAUUGGCAUAGGAAGAUCUCUGUGCUAAUGUGUUAGCUCUGAGCAAAACAACUGACAUAAAUGCAGAGGCUCACCAUGCUGACCACCAUACAUAUUGUUUACUUUAACUCACCAAAUUAUUUAUUUUGAAAAAUGAAUAUAUAGAAAAUAGUAGACAUGUGUCAGCAGUAAACUAUUCUCCUGGACUCUAAGGACCUGAGUUAUGAUGUAUAACAUCACCAGGGAGAAGAUAGUACCACACUCUCAGAAGAAACAGUGCUGAGUGAGAGAACAGGCAGACUGUGGCCAUCCUGCUUCUCCUGCCUGUGUCAGGGACAAGGACAGCUCCCGCUCUACAGAACCUUUCGCUUUAAUGUAAAUAUUUUGAAAUCUUUCUUUUCCUGAACCUUUAACCUGGCUGGUAAAUAGGGCGCAAACAGUAAAUUGAUUGUUUUCUGAGAACUAACUUUUGAGGAAAUAGGAAGGGAUAAAAAGCUUUUUUAUGUAAUGGUCAGUCUCUUGCAUGGUUGAAAACCUUAGUAUUCUUUUUAACCCUGCUUCAGAAGGCUCUGGGUCACCAAAACAAAAAGACUUAAUUUUAAUUUAUGGAAAUUAAAGUGAUUGAAAUGUGUAAAUGUACCCAUUCAAAGAGAGCAAAAUCUACAGACAAAGGGUGAGGCCAUCUUAUCUGGAGAAGAUCUCUGAUAAAACAGGAUGGAACAAUAUACAAACAAAAAUUUUUUAAAAAUCCGAGCUUCGAUUUUGACCUCUUUUUUCAGAAAAUGAGUAGGAAGAAUGAGCAACGUUGGGGCUAGUUGUGAAGAACAGUCGGGCGAAACUUUCCUUUCCCAUUGGAUCUGGUCCUACCAUCACUGUCUGUCUUCCAUCCUCUCAUAAAUUCUGAGAUUAUGACAGAAGAAAAGAUCAAACUGUCAGUCCCAUUUUCAGUGCCAAAGGCUUCACCCUUCUUUCUUUAGGCAGGAGGCUGAAGAAGAUGGCUGCCUGGAGUCACUCUGUAAGAUUGUAAGAUUGUUUUGUGAGAACAGCAGGGCCUACCCCAAAACUAGAUUCCAGGAUAGCUUCCCCUGGGAAAGCUUUCUUUAUAUCUGCCAUGCAGUUUUACUGUUCCCUGAGUAUAGAGUUUCUUGAUUUUCAAGAUUCACGGAGUUGCUGUCCAAACACAAGAUCCUUAAUGUGCUUUGGAAUUGUUGGUGGGGGAGAGAAGUUUUUCUAACCUGAGUCAAGGUAAAGUCUCACCCUCACUGUAGCAGAUGAGGGUGAGUUCAAAGGUCACCAGAGUCAACUGGGGCCUCUGGGCCUCACUCUCUCCUCACCCCACAGCAUCUGUGCCCAUUCAGCUAAUUCUGGCAGAAUCAGUUUUUCAAAGGAUGUUCCUAUUGGAAGGUAAACUGGGGGUAUUGUGAAUUCAUCUUUCAAGGAUGUUCCUCUUGGAAGGUAAACUGAGAGUAUCGUAAAUGCAUCUUUCAAUUCUUUGAUGGAGGCAGAAGAGAAAAAGGAAGCAGAAAAGACGAGAUGAGUCACGCUACCUUGUUUAAAGAUGGAUUGAACUAAACCGCAAGUGUGUUAGAAACAGGCAGAUGGCCAGAAGCCUGCUGCUCACGCUCAUCUUCAUCUCCAUCCUCCUCCUAUUUCCCCUUCAGAACAGAUGAAAGAUUCAGCUAAAUCCCAAGUGAGGCUGUUGUGGGAAAGCUUGGAAAAUGGGAUCCCUUGUUUUUCUGAAGUCACCAGCAAUCAGUGCUCAGAACUGAAACCACGAAGGACCUGAAAGCAAAACAAGUGCAUUGGAGGCUUCGCUGAGGGAUCCCCUGUGUUCCUUGUGGCAUGGCAACAGCAGCCAUGUGUGGUGGGUGGCAUUGUCUCCAUGUUCUCCCUGUGAGCCAGCAGAGGCUAAUGGACUUACGGAAGGUGCUAUAAUGACUAACCUCCAUUGUCAACUUGACUGAACCUGGAAUCAGGUAAAACCCAAGCCUUGGGACACUGCUGUAAGGGAUUUUCUUACCAGAUUAUGUGGGGCAGGAAGAGCCUCCGAAUCCAGGCCUCUGGUGGCAGGGCCACAUAGAAGGAAAUGGAAGAAGAAAACUUGGCUCUUUGCCUGCCUGACCUCACUUCCUCUGGCAAGACUAUUUAUCCUGUUUCUACGGCAUUUCUUCACCAAUAUUAGGACUGAUUUCUUUGGGAUUCCAAUACAGACUGAAGACAGUGUCUCUCCAGGAUUCCACAUUGAGACAGUGAGACAUCCACCCUCGUGGACUGAGCAAAUACCUGAAUCUUAGCCUUUCCAGUAUGAAGAGGCCAUUGCUGGAUUACCUGAACUGCAUCCUGUAAGCAACAGAAUAAAUCCCGAUUAUAUUCUCUGUUUUGGAGAACCCCGCGUAACACACUUGCCCAUGGCUCUGAGCCCUGCUCUGGUUUUGAGUUCAGUAGUAAUAAUCAGUAGACUCACAUUCAUUGUCUAGCACUCAUUCUCACACACGUGUGCACGCAUGCAACCUCAUCUACACGUGCAUCAACACUGGAUCCACCCUCAGUGGAACCUGGAUUGUAGAGAUUUAGGAUAUAAAUUCCUCUUGCUGUCAAGGCUUUAUAGAAUCAAACUUUCAAGUGAGUUUUGAUUUUUCAGCAAAGUUUUGUUCAAAUGGCCAGCUGGUAGUUAUCUUAGAUGUGUAGGCCCUUCGGUCUGUUACAGCUGCUCUAUCAUGCCACUGUAGCAUAGCAACAGCCAGAGGUGAUGCAUGGAGGAGAGCCACUGUGUUCUAAUAAAAUGUUAUGUAAAAAAAAGUCGGAUAAGCUAAGCUAGUAAUUUGGGGCAGUAGGCAAUAGUUUGAGACCCCAUAGUUUUCACCUCAAGACAUCAUUGAAAGUGAUACCAGCACCCUAGCAUUUUAGACAUAGGGUUUGUUCAACCUACCAGAAGUGAACUUGGGGGAAGGGUCCUUGCAGUCAGGCAGAAGUGUGGGGACAGUGUGGCCACUCACCCUCCAGGUAGCCCAGGUCCCCCAGCAGUCUACAGAGCACAACAAUGUGAGAGCCCAGUCCCAGUGCCUUGUGUACCUAGCCUGCUUCCUGGUCCUGCCUCUACCUGACCCAUGCAGCAAAGAUGUCCAGGCACCUCUUACCACAGUGAGCAGACCAGGAAACAGGCAGGCAAGGGGCAGUUGGCAGUGCAACCCUGACUCACUUUACCACCCAAGACAACCCAUCCAACCUCUCUGAGCCUCACUUUCUCCUUUGGUAUAUGGGGGGUACUUUGGAUCUUGCCCUAUGGCGAUGUAGAGGAGAGGAGAAGAAAGGUCUGGACAAGUCUAAGUAGCUUGGCUACUUAGAAGGGACCUUGACUCACUUUGUGGUAAGCAGCAUAGUCUCUGGCUCAGGUUCUGGUACCUGCGGGCCAUGCUCAACGUCAUUCAUAUCCCUCAGGCCAGGCGUGGUCCUUCCUUGGCUCUCCUGUGUCACUCACACACAGCUUGACAAGAAGUUCCAGACUCCUCACUACUUAGAUGGGGAAACUGAGGCACUGAAUUUAAGCAAUGCCACAAUACAUGGAGGGAAGUUCUGGUACUGGUAUUUUUCCCUCCUGACCACCGGUAUGCUAGGUCUUGGUGGGUCUGUUACUUACUGGACAGGGAGGUGCUCUAGAUGCGGAGGAUGCUGGGGUAUGGUCACGCUUCCUAUGGACUAUGCCUGUACCUCCAGUAUCAGCUACCCUGAGAAUGGCAUACCCAGGUCAUUGGUCCCUCUUAGACCCCUGGGUCCCCAAGGCCCUGGACGUUCAAAGCAGACACAGUGAGAGCUGGGGUGUGCAGGGGCCAGUGGAGGAGGACGGUAGCACCACCACUGUCUAGAGAUGGCUCUGCACUUGUCUCAUCUCCCUGCCCUUGAAGUGAGUGGGGCAGUCAGGGCAGAAGAGCAAAUGUGGCGCCCAACCCCUGAAAUGGUGCUCCAACCCCUGAUGGAUGCCCCUUUUGCCUGCUUCCCAAGCUUGGGAACAGGGGCUCUGGCGUAGAGCUGUGCCCCUCACCGGGAAGUGAGAGCCUAUUUCAGUUCCUCAUUUGGGGCACACCCAAAUUCCCAAGGCAGUUAAAAGCCUCAAGUUGCUCAACUGUGUCAGGAAAAGCCUGGGCCAUCGCUUCUCGCAUGGGGGCUGAACCCACACUUUGGUGACCAGAGUCUGGCCUGUCUGGCCUGUCUGGCCUCUGAGCUGUUAGGAACACACUGUCGGUGUCCCACAGUCCAUACCAGGAGGAAGGAGCGGUGAUUCUGAUGAACAAGGGACAGCUGUUCUCCAUUUGUCAUUGUCAAGCUCUGAUGCCUUUGGGGACUAAGGCUGAAGGACAGUUUUGACUGCUGUAAUCAGACAAACUGAAGGAAACCAAGAACGCCACCACCCCCUUUAUUCUGGGACUUUUUUUUGUCAUUUCAGUAAACAAGGGCUUGUGACCAAAUGUACCUAAUUCCCCCUCCCCCACAUCACACCCUGUCAUCCAGGCUGGAAUGAAACAAGCCGGCAAGAAACGUGUCGCCUCUACCUAGGCUCAUUUCAGCUUUCAGCAUCUUUUGAGGGACACCUGUGACCUAAGACCCAUGGCCCAGCUCUACCCUCCCACCCCAGCCGCACAUACAUCCGUCCUGUGAUGUAAAUGCCUCAGUGGCCCUCGGGAGUCUUUGGCGGCUCCUGUUCUGAUCUGAAAGCUGUCUGGCUGGGCUUCUUCCAGGGAGCUCACUCUAUAGACCAAUGCCCUGCAGCCAUGUUUGUUUUGACUGUUGGCCUGGCCCUGUUCCUGGCGAGCACUGCAGCUGGCCUGGCGAGUACUCCCUCUCUUUUGCCUUAUAGGAUAUUAACCCAUCAGAUUUCCAAGUGAUAUGGGCUGAGAGCGGGCACACUGGGGCAGAUCUGGAUGACCCCGUGGGCUGAGACUGGGCACACUGGGGCAGAUUUGGAUGACCCCGUGGAAGAGUGGGCACACUGGGGCAGAUCUGGAUGACCCCGUGGGCUGAGAGUGGGCACACUGGGGCAGAUCUGGAUGGUGCCGUGGGCCCAGGAGGGUGGGGUCGGGGAGUCUGGCCCAGGGGAUUUUAGGGUUCCAGGCUGGGGGAUUUGGAGGCCAUUUCCCAGCAGGACCCGGUAUGAACUCCUCCCGGGACUUCCCCAUGGCCUAACCCACUUGGUUCCUCUAGCUUGUAUUUUGCUUCUGCUGAUUCCCCAUGCUGUUCUUGGAAACUUGCAGUGGCACACAGUGUUUGCUAUUACAUUCAGGAGGUUGGAAUAACUUUACAGCAAAAGUCAGGGUGCCUGUGGGGUGCCGAGGAUAACUUUUGUGUCCCCAUUUUGUUCUCUCCAGGCUGCCAGCUGUCCUUGGCUUGGGGACCCUUCCUCCAUCUUGCAGAAUGACUGUAAUAUUCACCUCCACCUUCUCUUCUUUGACCUCGUGUCUCCAUCUUUGAAGGCCUGGGUGAUAACAAAAUUGUGUUUAAGGACCAGAGACUGCAAGGUUUCUGGAUCCACAGCAUCACAGGCAGAAGAAGGGAUGAAAUGCAUGGGAUCUCUCACUGAGUCAGCCUUGCAUAUGCUCUGAGCACUGUCCCCACGCUGCCAAAGUAGGCUAGUUCACACCACUGCAGAGCCCGGUGAGAAUUAAGGACACUAGAUGCUCCCUCCACUGCUGAGGCCCAGGUCAGGGUGGGAUUGCUGCGGGGGCAGGGAUUGAGUCAAACCUUGGAAAUGACGUCAUUCUGGACUCACCUGCCUUCACCCGGAAGACUCCCACCCCACCAGCAAAUAACCCCCAGUGCCCUACGAGUCAGGCUUUGGUCCCUGGGACUCCAUUCAACCCCCAACCCCCACUGUAGAUGGAAGUUUCUGUCCUGCACCAUCCUGCAGUCCCCCAGGUCAUCUCUAGCUGGGGGGGGGGGAUUGAUUUUGAUUAUAUCAUUUUCAGUCCUUAGAUUUCCAUUUUCUCUUAUCUAUUGUUUUCAUUUGUUUCAAGCGUACACGAGUGCUGUCACUGCUCUUUGUAGCAUUCUUAUGAUGGAUGCUCUAAAACUAAAGUGUUUGUCAGAUGGGGCUGAGUGUGCUGCACACCUUUAAUCCCAGCAUUUAGGAGGCAGAGGUAGGCAGAUCUCUGAGUUUGAGUCAAGUCUGCUCUGCAGAGUGAAUUCCAGGACAGCCAGGGCUACACAGAGAAACCCUGCCUUGAAAAACAAAACAAACAAACAAACAAAAGAAUUUUGUCAGAUAAUAUUGCAUCUCAGUAUUAGAAUUUAUUGUCCCUUCUUCAUUCAGUUUAAAAUAUUCCUGGAUUUUAGCAUGCAUAUUUUCCAUAGAGAUCCUGACAUUUGAGCAUCUUAUAUUUUGUCUUCCAUUUAUAACUGGCUUCCUAACAGAGCUCCCUCACAUAGGAGAGGCUGGGGUGUGGGAACCAGCUCAUUAAGGCCAGGUAGGGGUGGAAGCCCAGGUUCUAUACCAGCUUCUGCUGGCAUCUGAAGAGUUGGUCUCCUUAUCCCUGGUGGGGUACAAGUCCAGGCUCCCUGAUAAUGUCUACCUGACACCAGGGAGACCUGUUGCCCUUGGACAUGGAUGAAAAGUCUCAGCUCUCUAUUCAAACUUCUUGAGUACCAAACUGGAGAGGGAUGGGUGAGCAGAGGAGUUCCCCUGGUGACCGUGGGAAUCCAGGUGUGUCGCCCCCCACCACCACUUAGCCUUUGCCUAUGGGGUGGGCUCGUGCUGUGUGUUUUCUGUAAUGGAGCCUAGAGUGGAAUGCUAUUGCCUGAGACUGUCUGUCUUCUAGACCACCCCUUUCUAGGAGAGAGUAGGUUUGAACUGAUCGCCUGUGUCUAAAUAUAUGAGACAAACGAACAGAGAAAAUGCUCUGCCAUGGUGUUCCUCUGGUCCCGAGGUUGUUAGUUUGUCUUCUCUCUUCCUUCCAGAGCCUUUUGUAUUCUCCCUAUGUAAUAAUACCCAGACUUCCUAGCGAUGCUCUGCAGGAGGGAGAGACAGGAAUGUCUGCUUCCUGAAAGUGUAAGUUUUCAUUUUUUCUUAUGGAAAAGCAAAAACAAACAAGAAAACCAAACCCAAACAAAACAAAAAAACCUAGAUUACCUUUGCCUGCUUUAGACUGUCAUGUGAUGAAUGGAAAUAAGGAUUGUGCUCUCGUCUCUGCUGUGUUUGGAGUCUAUUCUUGUUUUAUAAUUCAUCCUUUCUAUUGCUGAGUGCUGACCAGUAUGUUGUAUGUAGACAUGCAGCAGCUUGACCAGAGUCCUGUUGAACAUCUGAGUAGUUUCUGAUUUGGGUUAUUACGAAUAGAGCAAAGAAGAGUUAUUUUAAUAAAGUGAUCUCCCUAAACAUACAGUACUAAGUAAUAACAAUGUUUCAAAAUAAACAUUUAUUUGUGACAUGCUGUCCUAGUUUUGUUCUGUUGCUGUGAUAAAACACUCUGGCCAAAAGCCACUUAGGGGAAGACAGGGUUGAUUUGUCUUUCUCUUACAGGUCACAGUCCUUCAUUAAAGGAAGUCAAAGCAGGAACGAAGCAGAAACCCUGAAGAACACUGUUUGCUGGCUUGUUCAGCUUCAUGCUCAGCCAGUUUUCUUACACAGCCCAGGAGCACAGGCCUAGGGAAUGAUGCUACCCACGGUGGGCUGGGAUCUAUACCAAGUAACUAGUCAACCCCCACAGGCGUGCUCUCAGUCCAAUCUAAUCUAGACAAUCCCUCAAUUAAGACUCCUUUCUCAGGUGACUCUAGGCCACAUUAAGUCAACAAUUAAAACCAGUAGGGUUGGAGUUGGCUCGUGCUUAAAAGCACUUGUUCUUGCAGAGGACUUGGGUUUAAUUCCCAGCACCUACAAGGUUGCUCACAACUGUCUAUAACUCUAGUUCCAGGAGAUCUGAUGCCUCUUCUAACUUCUGGCACCAGGCACCAGGUAUGGCAGUGGAGUUGGAAACGCACAGUCACAUGUGGUGCCUAGAGCUUCAGGUGUGUGUGCUGUAUAUAGGCCACAUUUUGUCUCUUUCUGUAACUGAGAGCUUGGUGAAGGCUCAUCAGCCCACACGUUCUGUUGUCACCACCAUACCCUCAGAAGAGCUGCGGGUCCUGUGCAAAUCCAGACCCAGUCACUCUUUAGGUGUUAAUCCCAUUUAACUUUUGUAGUACUGGGGACCAAGGAGCUGUCUCCCUGUCCUCCUUUUUUAAUUUCUGAGACAGGGGAGUGCUAAGUUCCCAGGCUAACCUCGAACUCACUCUGUAGCCCAGGCAAGACCUGAGCUUAAUAAAAUCCUCUUACCUCAUCCUCCUGAGUAGCUGGGAUUCCAGGCUUAAACUACCAGGCCUGGUUUAAUUCAUUUAGUUCUCACAGCAACCUCAUCACAGUGGCAGGCGGUUUAGUACACUUUGCUUCUAGAUGGAACACUGGAGAUGUGGAGAGGUUAGCCAGGUGGCCCAAAGUUGGUGAGAAGUGAACACAAAACAGUAAGUUAGACUUGUGUGGCUCCAGUUACCUUGCUUUUCCCCUUCCUUUUUGCUACAAGGUUUAUUGUUUGAAUAGAGUGUCUGCUGGGGAUCAGAGUUUGAAGAAGUCUGAAGAAGGUUCUAGAAUCUAUCUUUUCCUUGGUUUCUAAGAAAGAAAUGGGGGAGGAGCCAGUCCAGUGUCAGUUCUGGGAUUGGAAUUCUAGGAAGGAUUCAGUCUGUGGACCUCCAUCCACAUGGAAGGCGCAGGGGGUCAGGGCUCAAGGGAGAUGGGGGGCAUGAUAGCUGCUUGGAUUCUGGAGAUGGAAAAGCCUGGGCUCAAAUCCAGACUCGACUGACAGACACUGAGUUUGGGCAUACUGCUGAGUUCUCCCAUUUCCACAUUUACAAAAUGGUGACUAACAUCUCCCUGGAGAUUUGCUGGAAAGCUCUCUCCUCUGGGCUUACCCAGAAAUGCUGGAAGCUGCUCUCUGCCCAGCCAAAGCCAAUGAGCUGUCCCCCUCCACCCACCUACCCCCAUGCUGAGCCAGGAAUCCAGUACAAGCCAAAUGCCCACAGAAUCCCAGAACAAUGGGGAAGCUGCCUCCAUGUCCAAGGAGCAAUCUGCCACCGGUGACAUGGUGACACCUCUGCUUUAGACAGGUGGCCACCCAGAUAUUUGGUCUUACCCAGCUGGCAGCUGUUUUUUCCUGGUCUUUCUUUGUCUAAAUGUUGGAGUACAGGUCCAGUCUCAGAACUGGAUUCUAGGCAGACCAGGCGUGACAUGGCAGCCAUGGGAUGCUCUCAUUUACUUGGGGUUCAAGUGUGUGCACCCUUGUUAACACAUGAGCACUCACACAUGUUUAUACAUGCAUUUGUAAGUGUGAACACACACAUACAUGCACACUCACAUACGCACAUGCGUGCACGCACACACACAGUCCCCAGUGGACACAACUUGCCCACAGGCUCAUUAGAACCAUCUCAGCGCUCUCAGAAUUUGUUAGUAGCUCAUCUUUUUUCAUUCUUUCUUUCAUCCUUUUUUUUCUUUCUCACUACGUACCCCCGACUCUCCUGGAACUCACUAUGUAGAACUACACAGAUUCUCAUUGAUCCUUCCGUCUCUGCCUAUUCAAUGCUGGGAUUAAAAGCUUGCGAUGCCGUGUUGAUUGAGGAGUUCAUCUUUUAAAAUCCUGAGUGACUAUCGAUGAUUAAUGUUUAUAUAUCUGGUCUCCAUUUGGUGGAACUGUUUGGGAAGGAUUAGCGUAUGUGACCUUAUUGGAGGACGUGUGCUAUGGAGGGUGAGCUUUGCAGCUUCAAAAGACUCACACUGUUUCCAAGAUGCUCUCUGCUUCUUGUUUGUGGGUCGAGAAGUGAGCUCUCGGCUCCUCCUGUGGCUGUGUCGUUGUUCCGCUAUCACAGGUGCUAGCCCUCCGGAACUGGAAUCCCAGCUAAAGCUUUCUUUUUCUAUAAGCUGCCUUGGUUGUGGUGUUUUGUCACAGCAACAAAAAUGUAACUGUGACGCUGCAUCCGUGUGUCCGUCACUGGCUGAUGUGGGUCUAGAGAGUAGAUACUGGAGUGUCCAGGCUCUUGGACCUCUCUCCUCUUUACAGUGCACUGUACAGAGACACACGGAUAGUUACAGGGGUGGAGGAAGUUUAUUCAAGUGGAGACACUGGAGGCCUGGAGGUGUGCCAUGUCGCCCCUGUGGCCCAGCUCCAAGACAGAAGAGCAAGAUGGGCUGAGGUGAGGCCUCUGCUAACAUUAAGUGAGCCACUAACCCAGUGCCCUCCUCUUCCAGGUAAGGAGAGGGCUGUUCAGAGCAUGCUGUCCUGGAUGAAUGAAGCUCAGGGGGACUAAAGGCCACAGUCUUUCCCCACUGCCUUUUGUGUGUCCAUCUUUGGAAUUUCCUCUACUGUUUUCCAGCCUCCUGGCUGCUCAAGCCUCCGCAGAUCAGGGCCAGCUCUCGGCUCAGGCUCCAGACCACCACCCACCUCCUGGCAAGGCCAGGGAAGGUAAACAAGGAAGAGCUUGCACUAGAAGGCCAGGAGAGCCAGUGCUUGAGCCCAGGGGCAAGGGGCCUGUUGACACCCACAGGCAGCUGGCCAGGCCCCUGACAGCCACACUGCCACCUCCUUUACAGAAUGACAGCUGAAAGCUUGAUCAGCCAAGCCUCCACGAAACCCCGAAUGGCUCUGUUCUUCAUUCUAGGCUUCUGCUGCAGGAACCAAAGAAGUUGUGCCAAGCCCAUCCUGCUUGGGGCUUGGCACACAGCAGUCGCCCACAAGUGCUCUGCACUCCAAAGGCAGCUUCAGGGGCCAGCAGCUGAGUGUGUUGGUGCUGUAACAGAGCACAAAGCCACAAGGCUGAAAAAAGCGGGGCCACAGUGGGCUCAUCCUCUCUGGGUGGGGGCAGCCUCUGUGGGUGCUGAUUUUAAUUGGAGUGGAGGCAAGAGAGACAAAUGUUGGGAUUUUUGUUUUUAACCUGAGCUGAGACAUAGAAGGAGGUAACCGCUGGCUGUGAAAAGAGCCUUGGUCAUAAACGCAUUUAUCAUCAAUUAACACCUCCAGGUCCUGAGGCUGGCCGAGCAGCUGGCACCAGCAGCAACAGUUUUAACACCACACUGGCCUCUGCUUCUCCCUAAGUGGAUGUAGAGUAGCUGAGUGAUUGCUAAUGUGUUCUUAGUUAAUAUAGGGCGGAGGUGAGUUCCAGGACAACCAAGAAGGCACUUCUCCAUUGUCCCUACCCCUGGGGCACUCACAUGGCAGAGUGACCCGGAAAAGUCUAAGAGGAUAGAAUGUGCUUGAAUGUUUAAUUACUCGCCUGCCCCUGAGGGAAAAGGGCAUGGGCUUUAUGUUUUACACUUUAAAAUGUAUUUUAAUAAGUCACCUGUACACAUCGUACAAGUAAAUAAUCUAAACCAAUGUGCAGAGAAGGCCCUCCCCCUGCCUCUGUCUGUCGUUUUGAAGUGUGUAUGCGUGUGUAUGACAUGGGGGAAGGGGCUCAUAUGCCACAGCAUGCAUAUGGAGGUCAGAGGAAAACUUGGUGAAGUCAUUUCUCUGGGGCCUCGAACUCAGAUCCCCAGGUUUUUGUGGCAAGCAUCUUUAGCCACUGAGCCACCUUGCAGGUCCCUGCCUCUUGGAAAUUGUCUGCCUUCCACGGCGAUCCUGUUUCCCAGGAUCGAAUGGAGCUAUUUCUGGCGCACGCGAGGUAGGACACUUGAGUUUGUUACAUGAAGGAUAGUGUGCUGUGCCACUGUUUAUUUAACCCAGUUGCAGAAUGUCAGGCGUUCGGGUCUGUGUUUAGUCUUCAGGGAGUACAGGCGAUGCUGCCUAAAGAGCUUUAGGGGUGCACACGGCUCCCACCUGCGUGAGCAUACCUCCCGACGAGUUCUCAGAGGCUGAGCUCUCAGGUGGGGAGAAGCCUUUGUAAUGUUGAUCGAUAACUGUCAAAUCAUGCUCUGCCACAAUCGCUCUAUUUAGCAAGCAAGCAGCCGGCAGAAGGAUGCGGUUUCCAGACAUGCUUCAGAUACAGCACGUGAGAAAAAUGUGACAGUCCCGAAGGUGAAUGGCGAUACCUCGGUUUAGAUUUCAGUUGCCUCUUUUUCCCAUUCUGUGGAGUUAAGCCUCUCUUCAGAUGCUUAUGAUAUUGUAUUUCGGUCUCUGCGCCGCAGGUGCCAGGAUGGCCAAGUGAUCUAAGAUGCCAGGCUCCAUCGCCACAUCGCGUCAGCUCUUUCUUUUUGCCUGUGCUUGCAUGGGACACUUAGGUUGUCGAGGGCUUGUUUUCAAUUGAUUUAUUACAAUCUUUAAGCUAGGGAUUUGCCGGUUGUGUGAGGUGUUGAUUUUAAGUGACUGUCAGGUGGAGUUAUGUGUUUAUGGGAGGUUUGGUCAUGAGGACUGUGCUGAUUAACCUUCAGUGUCAACACGACUGGAUUUGGGGUGUCUCUGAAGGUGAUCCCAGAGAGGCCUAACUGAGGAGGGGAGACCCAGCCUGUUUGCAGGUGGCACCAAUCUGUGUACCGGGAUGCCAGACUGAAUAAAAAGAGGAAAAGGAAGGCCGGAGAUUGGUUGGCAUUGCCUGCUGUCUGCUUCCUGGCUUGUUCACACAUGGGGAGUCCCAGCUGUCGGUGGCCUCUGCCAUUUCUUCCCUCCACGAUGGACUUCACGCUAUCAAAUCCUCGCUAAAUUAAACCUCCAUCCACUGCUCUUCCACUCUGAAUGCACUCUCUCCAUCGCAUGCAGUCUAGCUAGCCAGCUUGUCCGUCCCUGGAGCUGAGAUUACAGGUGGCCACCACACCCACUGACACGCACGUGGGCACGCCACACCCACCAACACACAUGGGCAUGCUACACCCACCAACACACGUGAGCACUUGGGAUCUGAAUUCUCCUCACACCUGACUGGAGCCAUCUUCCUAGCCCAAAGUUUCAUCUUCUAAAUGCAACUGAUUUCAUCAGCUUCCCCCCUUUUCAGCUUUGCAUUUUUGUGUGUUCAUAUAAAAACAUUCCCCCCUACAAGAUGAAAAAGACUUUUCUUCUAGUUCUUUCAAUUUAUAUGUAUGUAUUUUUCAUUAUGUAUCUCACACUCUGUUUUUGUUUUGUUUUUUGCCCUGUUGUCCCACUGCCGCUCACCAACUAGCCCACCUCUGCUCAGGGACUCCAAAUAACAUCUUGACCUCAGCCCUUGACUGUGCUUAGCUCUUCUCUGGGUUUCUCCUCUGAGGAACAAGGGUGCUUUUUAAUGAAUUACAUGCAAAGGCUAAGCUUAGAAGCCCAGACUGGGAAACAACAUUCUUAUAAAUGGUUUAACAUGUAGGAAUUGCUUCUUGCUUCAGAAAAAUCCAUGUUCUUUGUGUUCUGAGAUUUCCAUUUUAUCACAUUUUUUAAAAGUAAAAGAUUUAUUGGGGUGCUCAUGCACUUGAAUGCAGGUUUCUGUGGAGUCCAGAAGAGAGCAUCAGAUCCCCUGGUCCUGGAGUCACAUCAGACAGUUGUGAGCCACCCAAAGCCAGGUCCUCAGGAAGGGCAGUGCUCACUCUUAACUCUGAGCCUUCUCUCCAGCCCACUAUUCUAUCACAUUUUAAAGCCUGCUUCCCCUCAUCUGCUCCCUUGUGACUAGUCCCUGCAGCUUUAAACAGAAGAGUUCCUGCUGCUUGCCCUACAUGAAAAUGUUCCAUCAAAAUGACCUAACUCAGGAGGAUAACAGAAAGAAAGGAGGAAGGAGGAGGGAGCCUAAACCCCAGGCAGGAGCAGAAGACUUCCCCAUUGGGCCUCUCGGAAAGGCAGGAUGUUGGCUGUUGAUGCCCACCGGAAGCCUUGACUCUCCCCUUGGGGUCCAAGUCAUCUGGUUACUCUGGUUUUCUUCCUAGUGGUCUUGUGUGAGACAGAAGGAGAUACCUGUUUUAGAAGGCUGAAGCAGGACUCUUUGGAACCGGACACCAUCCAUGUGUGGACAGGUGCCACAGCCCCUGAGGAGCCAUGUCUGAUCCAGGGUGACGUAAUUGUUUCCUGUUACUACUUCAGGCAGCACGGGGCUUCCAGCAGCACUGAGGCCCCCUGUGGCUCUCAGCACACACUGGAGCGCUUUGUAUCAAUUCUAUUUUCUUUUUUUUGAUUCGUUUUACUCAUGUGUGUGUACACGUGCCUGUGUAUUAUAUGCAUGCACAUGCAUGUGAAUAUGGGCACCCAUGGAGGGCAUCAGAUGCCCUGGAGCGGGAGGUACAGGCAGUUGGGAGCCACUGAGAUGUGGGUACUAGGAAGUGAAGGCCAGUCCUCUGCAAGAGCAGCAAGUACUCUUAACAGCCGGGCCAUCUCUCUGUCCCUAGUGCCAUUUUCUCAAUGUUUUUGUCUUUACUUCCCCAACCUCCAAAGAAGAAUUUAAUCUGUCGGCCCACCACUAUAGACAGCUACCAGAAAGAAAGAAUUAUUUAAAUUAACUUUUCUUCUCUCUAUGUAAGUAUAAGAGUGAGGGAUAGUUAGUUCGUAGAGUACUUGCCUAGCCUGCAUGAUGUCCUGGAUCCAAUCUCUUGGGCUGCAUAAGCCAAGCAUGGUGGUACACACCUGUGAUCCUAGCACUGGGGAGAUGAAGGCAGGAGGACCAGAAAGUCAAGGUCAUCAUUGGCUUCAUAGAAAUUUCUGGGCCAGCCUCAGUUAUGUGAGACCCCAUUUCAAAAGCCAAAUAAAUAAAUAAUUUAAAAGUGUAUUUCAAUUUACAAAUGUAUUGUGGUCAACUGCUUAUAACUAUACACAAAUUUUUUUUGAAGCAUCACCCUGAGUUAAAAUCAUCUCAGCAAGCCCUCUUGACAGCUCUGGGAGCAGGAAUUAUGAAUUUACUCACAAAUGGGCAAGGAAACAAAUGUUGAAUAAAGCAUAGAACUUGAUUCCACAGCUAGUACAAGAACAUGGAGAGUCGGGCCCAGCGUGUGUAGGAAAUGUUCCCACUUACAUUGUGGUCCAUGGCCCUAAGCCUUGUCCUUACUGUCUUCUCACUCAUAGUGUGACUGAGGUUUAUCCCCCAAAGGUUCAUGUGCUAAAGUUUAGUGUAGAGGCGCUGAGGUGGUAGGAUAGUUAAGGGGUGGAGUCUACUAGUGGGCGACAGUUAGGACGUGAGGCGUGUUAGGAUACGGAGUGUUCUAUCGUUAUUCUCGGGGGACCAUGUCAGGUCUUAUGGAUCAAUUCUUCUAGGGAUGGUUUCUAGAUGAGAACCUGAGCCUUUCUUUGAAUCAAUCGCUUUGCUGUACUCACCACCUUCACCACAGGUGACUUGAUGACCUUACCAGAGCCAAUGCCCUGCUCUUGAACAGUCAGAACUGUGAACUGAAUAAAGCCCUUUUCGUUAGAAGCACUCCACCUCCUAUAUUGUUACCAUAACACAAAAAGAGACUAUGAAAGUCGCUCUGAGAGAGACCUGAUAUCUUAAUAUUUUUAUUUGCUUUUGGCUGCAUAUAUGUUUGAACAUUUUCCAUGUUUUAUAAAUCAUUUGUCUUGAUUUUCCUACUGUCUUUCCCCAUUUUUCAAUGUCUUCUCCUGUGUGUGUGUGUGUCUGUCUGUGUGCAUGUGUGUAUAUGUGUGUCUGUCACAUAUAUUCUUCAAUUUUAUUCUUAACUUUUAACUCUAUUGUAGUUAUCCAGGCCUGAGAAAUUUUAGAUAAACUUGCAGUGCUCCUCCUGCAUCUGUGUCUUGGGCUCUGACACUGCAGUCAUGAACCAUCAUUCCCAGCUUGUUCCCAUUAUUUAAGAGGUAAUGUCCCUCCUGUGUAAGGAUAAAUGUUCACUCCUAUCUUUAAGGUGGAAAGUGGAUUUGCUUUCUGCAUUUAAUUCCUUACUCUGUCCAGAAGUUAUUGGCAAUCCCCCCCCCCCAAAAAGUCUAUUUAGAAGAACCUUGAGCAGCAUGUCUGCAUCCUUUAUUUGCUCAGACACACUUGCUACCUGGAAGAGUGUUUUCUCAUCAUCCAAUUGUAUGUGUGUCAUGUCUCAUAUCCGGACUAGAGACUGAGGGUCAUGCCCAAUAGAGACACGAAUUCCAACUAAAGCCACAUUAACUUUUAGAACUCCCUAUUACUGAAUACCUUCAAGUCCAUGGCAUAUAAAUCAUUGGUUGUUUUUGUUCACAGAGCCAGACAGUUGCUCUGAAUUCUCACUGAACUGUAGAGCUGUGUCUACCAUGUAGCUAGAGCUUGAUGUGUAACUUCUCAUCUUUCAGUAUUAUUCCUGUUUGCAUCUCCAGGUAUGAGAGAAUUCCAUCUGACCCCUAACUCCAAGCCCCUAGAGCAUGUUGGUGUCUUGGAUUCAACCAUGUCAUUAUUGGACAUUUGAGUUCUUUUACACAAAGGUGACUACCCAACUGACCAUGCCUGAACCAGUACAUUCUUCUUGGCUGUAUUUUUAAAUUCUCAGAAUUUUUCUUAACAAAUAUUACAUCUGAAUGUUUAUUGGUGUUGGUUUGAGCUUCUUAUUUCAUCCUAUUAAAACCAGUUUGAGUCUCA